rnacentral:rRNA from 1 species
CCUACGGGGCGCAGCAGUGAGGAAUAUUGGUCAAUGGGCGAGAGCCUGAACCAGCCAAGUCGCGUGAAGGAUGACGGCCCUACGGGUUGUAAACUUCUUUUGUCAGGGAGCAAUUGAGUCCACGUGUGGGCUUAGCGAGAGUACCUGAAGAAAAAGCAUCGGCUAACUCCGUGCCAGCAGCCGCGGUAAUACGGAGGAUGCGAGUGUUAUCCGGAUUUAUUGGGUUUAAAGGGUGCGUAGGCGGAAUAUCAAGUCAGCGGUAAAAAUUCGGGGCUCAACCCCGUCGUGCCGUUGAAACUGAUGUUCUGGAGUGGGCGAGAAGUAUGCGGAAUGCGUGGUGUAGCGGUGAAAUGCAUAGAUAUCACGCAGAACUCCGAUUGCGAAGGCAGCAUACCGGCGCCCAACUGACGCUGAAGCACGAAAGCGUGGGUAUCGAACAGGAUUAGAUACCCGAGUAGUC